GAUGAACGCUGGCGGCGUGCCUAAUACAUGCAAGUCGAGCGAACAGACGAGGAGCUUGCUCCUCUGACGUUAGCGGCGGACGGGUGAGUAACACGUGGAUAACCUACCUAUAAGACUGGGAUAACUUCGGGAAACCGGAGCUAAUACCGGAUAAUAUAUUGAACCGCAUGGUUCAAUAGUGAAAGACGGUUUUGCUGUCACUUCUAGAUGGAUCCGCGCCGCAUUAGCUAGUUGGUAAGGUAACGGCUUACCAAGGCGACGAUGCGUAGCCGACCUGAGAGAGUGAUCGGCCACACUGGAACUGAGACACGGUCCAGACUCCUACGGGAGGCAGCAGUAGGGAAUCUUCCGCAAUGGGCGAAAGCCUGACGGAGCAACGCCGCGUGAGUGAUGAAGGUCUUCGGAUCGUGAAACUCUGUUAUUAGGGAAGAACAAAUGUGUAAGUAACUAUGCACGUCUUGACGGUACCUAAUCAGAAAGCCACGGCUAACUACGUG
rnacentral:rRNA from 1 species